rnacentral:rRNA from 1 species
UCCGGUUGAUCCCGCCGGACCCGACUGCUAUCGGAUAGAGAUUAAGCCAUGCGAGUCGAACAUUUCUUAACUAUGUAAGAAGUGUGGCAUACGGCUCAGUAACACGUGGUCAACCUACCCUAAAGACAUGGAUAACCCCGGGAAACUGGGAUUAAUAUAUGAUAGGUCAUUUUUCCUGGAAUCGGUUUAUGACUUAAAGGAUUGUUGAGCAAGUUUGAUUAAUUGCUUUAGGAUGGGACUGCGACCGAUCAGGUUGUUGGUGGGGUAAUGGCCUACCAAGCCGAUUACCGGUGCGGGCUUUGAGAGAAGGAGCCUGGAGAUGGACACUGAGAAAAGGGUCUAGGCCCUACGGGGCGCAGCAGGCGCGAAAACUUUGCAAUGUGCGAAAGCACGACAAGGUUAAUCCGAGUGCAACAUGCUGAAUGUAGCUUUUGGUAAAUGUAAAUAUUUUAUUGAAUAAGGGGAGGGAAAGUCUGGUGUCAGCCGCCGCGGUAAUACCAGCUCCCCGAGUGGUCGGGACGAUUAUUGGGCCUAAAGCAUCCGUAGCCGGUUCUGUAGGUCUUAUGUUAAAAUCAAUUGCUUAACAAUUGAACUGCAUGAGAUACCACAAAACUAGGAGGCGGGAGAGGUGGACGGUAUUCCACGGGUAGGGGUAAAAUCCUCUGAACCGUGGAGGACCACCAGUGGCGAAGGCGGUCCACCAGAACGCGCUCGACGGUGAGGGAUGAAAGCUGGGGUAGCGAACCGGAUUAGAUACCCGGGUAGUCCCAGCUGUAAACGAUGCAAGCUAGGUGAUGCAUUAGCCACGUGUUAAUGCAGUGCCGCAGGGAAGCCGUUAAGCUUGCCGCCUGGGGAGUACGGUCGCAAGGCUGAAACUUAAAGGAAUUGGCGGGGGAGCACCACAAGGGGUGAAGCCUGCGGUUCAAUUGGAUUCAACGCCG